AUUGAACGCUAGCGGGAUGCCUUACACAUGCAAGUCGAACGGCGUGGCGAACGGGGGAGUAAUGUAACGGAACGUGCCCAGUAGUGGGGGAUAAUUACGCGAAAGCGUAGCUAAUACCGCAUACUAUUUGAGCGGCAGAUAGCGGAUUGGCGUGUUGGUGGGGUAACGGCGUACCAGGGCGACGAUCCGUAGCUGGGUUGAGAGGACGACCAGCCACACUGCGACUGCGCCACGGCCCAGACGCCUCCGGGAGGCAGCAGUGGGGAAUUUUGGACAAUGGGGUAAACCCUGAUCCAGCCAUCCCGCGUGUGCGAUGAAGGCCUUCGGGUUGUAAAGCACUUUUGGCAGGAAAGCGGUACCUGCAGAAUAAGCACCGGCUAACUACGUGCCAGCAGCCGCGGUAAUAC
rnacentral:rRNA from 1 species